AAUUUUAGACGAUUUAGUACGAUGUUAAAUCAUUUUUAGUAUGAUACUAGGUUAAAAAAAGGAUUUUGAUAAUUUUAAACGAGUUUAGUAUCGUACUAUCUUCUUAACAUUUUACUAAAGUUAAAAUCACCAAAUGGCUACUUUAUCUUUUUAGUAUCGUAUUAAAUCUAUGUCAUACAGAUUUUUCUUGUCAUUUUUCUCAAAUGUGACAGUGUUUUAAAAUUGAUAAAUUGUGAAAUAAAAUUUAUUUAUACAUAUCAUAAAAAGUAAAUUAAUUUAAAAUGUUUUCGGAAGAAGAAGAUUUUGAAAUGUUUAAGGAUUCAGUGUUGUGUAGGAAAGUUAAAAGUUUUAAAACUCGAGCAAAUCCUCUUGAAGAGCUGGACGAUGGUGAAUUUUACUCCAGAUUUGCAAGUUCUAGUUACGUUACACUUUUUUGGAAGAAAUGUCCAUCAAUCUGAUGUUGGAGCAUUACAUGGAAUGGUGCAGUCCACAGUGGGAAAAAUAAUUAAAAACAUCGCAAAAAGAAUUGCUUCACUACUUCCACACUUUAUACAGUUCCCAUCUUCCCCUGCGGAGUUGAAUGACAUCAAAUCCGGAUUUUACAAUAUCGCCAGGUUCCCAAAAGUCAUAGGUGCAAUCGAUUGCACUCAUGUGCAAAUCAAGCGACCAGCUAGGAUUGUGGGACCUAUUAUGGCUGGCCACUACAUAAAUAGAAAAGGUAGAUAUUACAUUCCUAACUAAAAAAAAUCGAUAGUCAAACAAUCAUUUGGUCCAUGUACAAAACACUAUUAAUUUCUUAAAGGUUAUUAUUCAUUAAAUGUCCAAAUUGUAACGGAUCAUAAAUGCAGAAUUAUAGAUAUCGUUGCAAGAUCUCGUGGGUCUCUUCAUGACUCCAACAUUUGGAACAAUUGUCGCCUUAAAAGUAAGCUUGAAGAAAGUAUUAGCAUCCAUCAGGGUAUCUUGUUAGGCGAUGCUGGAUAUCCAUGUUCCAACAUUUUGCUAACCCCUUUAAGAAACCCGAGCUCCAGAAAAGAAGAAAAAUAUAACAAUUCUCAUACUUCCACAAGAAGCCGUAUAGAAUGCCUAAAUGGGCAGCUUAAGUCCAAAUUCAGGACUUUGCUAGAUCGGCUACGAGUGGAUCUGGAAACGGCAAAAAAUGUUGUUGUUGCUGUGGCUGUGCUUCACAAUAUAGCAAAGGAACGAAAUUUUCCUUUUUUCUAUGAAGAUAAUGAAGCACAAGGCCAACAUACAAAUUCAAUUUCAAACGGGAACAAUGAUGAAACUCAAACAGGAGCAGCAUUCAGAAGCGCAUU